AAGUCGUAACAAGGUUUCCGUAGGUGAACCUGCGGAAGGAUCAUUAUCACGUAUCCACGUAUAAACCAAACGCGAACUGUUUUUUAAACCUUUGGAAGACUAGGCUGAAUGGAGCGCUACAUAGUUCAUUGUGUGGUUUUGAACUGCUCUGUUUACUUUGAAAGAGGCGCAAGCUUCCUUCAUAAUAUGGCUUACCUUUCGAAGUGUAUCCAAAUCACACUUUUAAAACUAUUAACCACUUGAACCCUUUUAUAUAUUCUUUGUUUGAACUGAUUUGUUUCUUACUCGAUCAGUAACAUGGUUGAGAAGAAAUUCAUUACGAAAUAUAAAGAACAACUCUUAGCAACGGAUAUCUUGGUUCUC
rnacentral:misc_RNA from 1 species